ensembl:lncRNA
ACAAAAUAUAGGAAUAAAAAGGAGCACACUGCAAUCUCAGUAGAAGUCAUGGGCGAAAAAUAAAGGAACCCCAAAAUUGCACACGCAUGUACAUAUAUAAUAAAAACAUGGUAAAAGCAUGCAAGAAGUAUUAAAAUAACACAGGGUAAAGGUAAGUGCUGGCAGAUAAGUGCAAAAUAGAUUAAAUGAAUAAAUAAAAAAAUAGGAAUAUAAAUAAAGAUAAAUAAGGCAUAGUAAAACCAUUCACACAUCCAUACCAUCCUUUCACAUAAAAGAAGCCUCCAAUGAAUAAGAGGGUAAGGGUUAGGGUUAUGGGUAGCAUAGCCCUAACCCCCGUCCCCGAGCCCAAUGGACGCUGUCCUGGGUCGUCUGGAGUUGAAGGAGAGACCGUUGUUUAAGGUGACCGCAUCGGGGGUCCACCUCCUCUAUGCUGUCUCUCACAAAGCUGCUGAAGGCCUCAGUGCAGUGGAGCUGGUGAAGGGAUAGCUCGAUGGAAACAGAGAGGAGAGGAAUGACGAGACGGGCCUGAGGGACUUCAGCUCUGGCUGUUCCAACGCGACGUCGAUGUCUUUGAUAACGGUAACGGCUGUUUGUUCCCUAAGACCGUUGUUUAUGUCUACCUAAAAACCACCGGUCUGAUGCCAGGCCUGGGGAGGGGAUCUAAGCAGGACCGCAGUGAGGUGUCUGAGGGUCGCUCCCGGGAAACUGUGGGCCUGAACCUCCGACCGUUUAAAUGUGGGGGUGGGGGCGAUGAGGAGAGGCUGGGGUCAGUGGGGGCCAUUGGACUAUGCCAGGUGAGCUAGGGAUCAAUACACGCUGGGUAAUGGUUCUGCUUGGGACAUCUAAAACAGUGUUGGAGGGGGUGAGUGAGGGGGAGAAUGAACUCGGGCAGUAAAGGAGAACAGUUUUGGUUGUUUAUUAUUUGAAUCAGUGCUAAUAUCACUCUGCUUGUUGUUUCCAGGAGCAGGUUCUGCUAGUCGGGAGAGUGGUGGAGAAACCAAAGGUACAGGCGCCCCCUGGUGGACGACGGGGGGGCUGGCGCUGUCCGAGUGAGAGGCCAUUAGAUCUAGUGACUAAAG